rnacentral:tRNA from 1 species
GAGUAGCUCAACUGGCAGAGCAGCGGUCUCCAAAACCGCAGGUUGGGGGUUCGAGUCCCUCCUCG